AUUGAACGCUGGCGGCAUGCCUUACACAUGCAAGUCGAACGGUAACGGGUCCUUCGGGAUGCCGACGAGUGGCGAACGGGUGAGUAAUAUAUCGGAACGUGCCCAGGAGUGGGGGAUAACUGCUCGAAAGAGCAGCUAAUACCGCAUACGACCUGAGGGUGAAAGGGGGGGAUCGCAAGACCUCUCGCUAUUGGAGCGGCCGAUAUCAGGUUAGCUAGUUGGUGGGGUAAAGGCCUACCAAGGCAACGAUCUGUAGUUGGUCUGAGAGGACGACCAUCCACACUGGGACUGAGACACGGCCUAGACUCCUACGGGAGGCAGCAGUGGGGAAUUUUGGACAAUGGGCGCAAGCCUGAUCCAGCAAUGCCGCGUGCAGGAAGAAGGCCUUCGGGUUGUAAACUGCUUUUGUCAGGGAAGAAAUCGUCUGGGCUAAUACCCCGGGAGGAUGACGGUACCUGAAGAAUAAGCACCGGCUAACUACGUGCCAGCCGCCGCCGUAA
rnacentral:rRNA from 1 species